rnacentral:rRNA from 1 species
AACGCGAAGAACCUUACCAGGUCUUGACAUACUGAUGACCGGCCCAGAGAUGGGUUUUCCUCUUCGGAGGCAUCAGAUACAGGUGGUGCAUGGUUGUCGUCAGCUCGUGUCGUGAGAUGUUGGGUUAAGUCCCGCAACGAGCGCAACCCCUAUCGUUAGUUGCCAGCAGUAAGAUGGGGACUCUAACGAGACUGCCAGUGAUAAACUGGAGGAAGGUGGGGAUGACGUCAAAUCAUCAUGCCCCUUAUGACCUGGGCUACACACGUGCUACAAUGGUUGGUACAAAGAGAAGCGAAGCGGUGACGUGGAGCAAACCUCAUAAAGCCAAUCUCAGUUCGGAUUGUAGGCUGCAACUCGCCUACAUGAAGUUGGAAUCGCUAGUAAUCGCGAAUCAGAAUGUCGCGGUGAAUACGUUCCCGGGUCUUGUACACACCG